rnacentral:lncRNA from 1 species
AUGCCUUCCUUUCUCAUUCUCCAGCCUGGGUCAGUAGCACAAUCCAGAGAGCCAGUAGGGGGUCUCUCCUGGUCCACGGAGGCAGAGGAGCUGUCUGAACGUGCAGAGCCGCCCCUGCCAACCUGGCCCAGUAUCAAGAGCUGCCCCUCACCCGGUGAUCUCUGCAAAUCACUGCUCACCCAGAAGGAAAACCAAUUUACAUUGGUCUCCAAAACAGCCCUAAGAGAUGAUUGCUCUUCCUAGAAAUUAGGAUCAAAGUUGAGGUCCACACCAGUGUGACCACGUGCCCUAUCCCUGCUGCCAGUCAUUAUGCCGCACUGUCUCUCCUGUAUCCUGUAUGAUCACUGUCGCCACCUCCACCUGAUAGGUUAGGGAAGAAGGUGAGUAAGUAUCCAUGAUAGGCCAGAUGCAGUGCUGAGUCCUGGGGAGAAGGCACAUUUCUCUAGGUCCUAGUUGUCAAGGUGUGUGUGUACAGCAGAGGGGAGGGGAGCUGGAGGAAGCGAAAUGCAUUUCCCAUAUGAUAUAAGACCAACUGGGAUGUCCCCUAAGAUGUGAAAGUAGGUUACUUUCACUGCAAGUGUUCAGGAGAUGUAAGGUUGGGACAUCUGAAGGGCAGCAUGAAACGAGUCAACUACUCUGCCCCAGCUACUCCUCCUUUCUUGUGGCUUGGCUGGAGAACUUCACCAGUCCAUACCCAGUCAAAUUAAGUUCUUUACUGUGUGAGCCAGGGGUCAGCUGGGCCUCUGCCCUAGAGGAUCUGGUCACAUUUGACUGGAAUUCUCAUUCCAUGGCCUUGGCAGAACUCAGAGUCCUUCCUGCAGUUUCUUUUCCUUAAUGCUUUCUUCCUUCAGCCUCCCUUCACCUCAGUGCCUGAAUGUCACCUUCCUGGUCCACGCCAUUAUUUUCAUGGAAGGUCAUUCUCAAGCCUGCUCUCAGUUUAGCAGCUUUCUCGGAGAAUCAUUCUCCAAGAUAGGACCCCCUCCUAGGAAUCCCCCUAGUCUUUGAUUAGAAAAGGCCCACCCUUUUUGCCAUUUUUCUCCCUCCUC